UAAAUUAGAAUGAAAUGCAUUGCUGGCACAUACAGUAAGCUUGCUUGCUUCUUUUUUUAUGUUGUUUUAAAUAUUCUUUGAAAGGAUUUUCAUGCUUUAAUAAUAGUGGCAGAGUCGGAGCGGAGGCAGGAGAGAGAGAGGAAGUCGUGCAGCAGAGGGCCGCGGUUCGAGUUCCACCCCGGGCCGCUGAGACCAGGACUCAGCCUGGGCGGAGCAGCGAGCGUGCAGAGAAACCCUGCGAGAGCUGCUGCUCUGCUGCUGGGCCUCGUCUGUCUGCUGCUCAUCGCUGCUCUCGUCUUCCUGUACACACAAUAUUCUUCAAUUACUUUGGAAAAAGAGGAGCUUCAGAGACAAAUUAACAACUCCUCGUUAAUGACGACUGUCAAGCCGAGUCACCAGACCAACUGUACCAAAACAGACUGGGCGAUAUUCGGCUGUUACUUCAAAUCUACGGAGAAGAAGAACUGGACAGAGAGCAGGAAAGAUUGUCUGAGUAGAGGAGCAGAUCUGGUGGUGAUCAACAA